UACGUAGGGUGCGAGCGUUGUCCGGAAUUAUUGGGCGUAAAGAGCUCGUAGGCGGUCCGUCGCGUCGAAUGUGAAAACCCGGGGCUCAACCCCGGGCCUGCAUUCGAUACGGGCGGACUAGAGUUCGGUAGGGGAGACUGGAAUUCCUGGUGUAGCGGUGAAAUGCGCAGAUAUCAGGAGGAACACCGGUGGCGAAGGCGGGACUCUGGGCCGAUACUGACGCUGAGGAGCGAAAGCGUGGGGAGCGAACAGG
rnacentral:rRNA from 1 species